UAUAUAUGAACAUAUAUGUACAUGUGUAUAUACAUCACUAAUUAAAAUAGCAAAAUCAUUAAAUGAAAUUAAAUAAAAUCGAACAUUCGAGCUGCGAGAUAGAAAAUGUACACUAAGAACGUUUGAUUAUACAACAGUUUUAUUGCCAGUCUAAAAAACGUAUGAUCCAAUAAAUAAAAAAAAAAACUAAUUGCAUUCUAAUCCCGCGGGAACGCUGAUUGGUUUUCCAAAUCAAAUUUCCAACAAGGAAAAGUCAUGUAUAUCCGUAUGACAUUUCAUCGUUACGUAGGUACCUAUGUAAUUAAUACAUUACAUGGUAUAAACAAGCUAGAAUUUGAAACUUCGCUGAAGUAUACAUAUAAUUUGUCUACUACGUGCUCAAAGAUAACCUCUGGUUUCUAACGCAACGAUGGAAAUGGAACUCGAUGAUAAGAUUAUUUUAGGAUGCGUCAUUGUUUAGUCGAAUUAGAUCUGUAUUUAGUUUAAUAGAAUGUUGACGGUCAAUAAAUACUAAAUAAACAUUCUUUCACGAGCAUGUCGAAGAAAUCUUAGAGGCAGAUCAUCGACGAUCGGCAUUCUAAUAUUCGCGCAUGGAGAUCGCGUUACGUCACUUUCGCAAAAGCAAAGAUUUUUAUCUUUGUCAUCAUGGGAGAAAAAG